GAUGAACGCUGGCGGCGUGCCUAAUACAUGCAAGUCGAGCGAACAGACGAGGAGCUUGCUCCUCUGACGUUAGCGGCGGACGGGUGAGUAACACGUGGAUAACCUACCUAUAAGACUGGGAUAACUUCGGGAAACCGGAGCUAAUACCGGAUAAUAUAUUGAACCGCAUGGUUCAAUAGUGAAAGACGGUUUUGCUGUCACUUAUAGAUGGAUCCGCGCCGCAUUCGGUAGUUGGUAAGGUAACGGCUUACCAAGGCAACGAUGCGUAGCCGACCUGAGAGGGUGAUCGGCCACACUGGAACUGAGACACGGUCCAGACUCCUACGGGAGGCAGCAGUAGGGAAUCUUCCGCAAUGGGCGAAAGCCUGACGGAGCAACGCCGCGUGAGUGAUGAAGGUCUUCGGAUCGUAAAACUCUGUUAUUAGGGAAGAACAAAUGUGUAAGUAACUAUGCACGUCUUGACGGUACCUAAUCAGAAAGCCACGGCUAACUACGUG
rnacentral:rRNA from 1 species